rnacentral:lncRNA from 1 species
UCCAUCUGCUGAAUGUUGCCAAGUAACAGCCAUCCAUGGAACAUGGAAAAAUGAAUUCACCCGGCCAGGCCCAAAUUGUCGACCCACAGAACAUGAGAUGCAGAAGCUCUAACCAAGGAUUCCUAGAGAGAAAGAGUAGAGCCAUGAGACGAAGGGAGCCUGGGUCCCUAAAUCACCAUGUCGGAGCUCUUCAGCGAAAAGCUGACGCUGAGCUGCUACGUGAGCAAGAGACACCUUGCCCAGU